CCAUAAGACUGACAAGCAUUCCAAAUGGUGUCCUGAUAGCAAAAUAGCGCGAGCAAUGCCGGGGAGCCUUAUUCCCAAUCACGCUCACGAAGAUGGAGAACGCCCGAACCCAGUUCCUAUAGCGAAACGUCUCCUUAUGCGUGUCCGACUCCUUGCCAUCCUUGUCUCCCAGAGGAGGGACGUCCUCCAAGGGUAACAGGGAAAAUAUCUCUACAAAU